rnacentral:misc_RNA from 1 species
GUAGGUGAACCUGCGGAAGGAUCAUUAACGAGUUAAUUGAACAGGUUGUAGCUGGCCCCCAGGGGGCAUGUGCACGCCUGGCUCAUCCACUCCUUCAACCUCUGUGCACUUGUUGUAGGUCGGCGGAAGGGCGAGUCUGGUUUCAUUACUGUGACUUGCUUGGAAGCCUUCCUAUGUCUUUACAAACGCUUCAGUUUAAGAAUGUAAAUCUGCGUAUAACGCAUCUAUAUACAACUUUCAGCAACGGAUCUCUUGGCUCUC